rnacentral:rRNA from 1 species
GACAGAGGGUGCAAACGUUGUUCGGAAUUACUGGGCGUAAAGCGCACGUAGGCGGCUUUCUAAGUCGGGGGUGAAAUCCUGGAGCUCAACUCCAGAACUGCCUUCGAUACUGGAGAGCUCGAGUCCGGGAGAGGUGAGUGGAACUGCGAGUGUAGAGGUGAAAUUCGUAGAUAUUCGCAAGAACACCAGUGGCGAAGGCGGCUCACUGGCCCGGUACUGCCGCUGAGGUGCGAAAGCGUGGGGAGCAAACAGG